rnacentral:rRNA from 1 species
UCCUACGGGGGGCAGCAGUGAGGAAUAUUGGUCAAUGGGCUUACGCCUGAACCAGCCAAGUCGCGUGAGGGAAGACUGCCCUAUGGGUUGUAAACCUCUUUUGUCAGGGAGCAAUUGGCGCUACGUGUAGCGUUAUCGAGAGUACCUGAAGAAAAAGCAUCGGCUAACUCCGUGCCAGCAGCCGCGGUAAUACGGAGGAUGCGAGCGUUAUCCGGAUUUAUUGGGUUUAAAGGGUGCGUAGGCGGACGCUUAAGUCAGCGGUAAAAUUGCGGGGCUCAACCUCGUCGAGCCGUUGAAACUGGGUG